CCUACGGGGGGCAGCAGUGGGGGAUAUUGGACAAUGGGGGGAACCCUGAUCCAGCGACGCCGCGUGAGUGAAGAAGUAUUUCGGUAUGUAAAGCUCUGUCAGCAGGGAAGAAAGAAAUGACGGUACCUGACCAAGAAGCCCCGGCUAACUACGUGCCAGCAGCCGCGGUAAUACGUAGGGGGCAAGCGUUAUCCGGAAUUACUGGGUGUAAAGGGAGCGUAGACGGUUAAGUAAGUCUGGAGUGAAAGGCCGGGGCUCAACCCCGGGACUGCUCUGGAAACUAGUUAACUUGAGUGCAGGAGAGGUAAGCGGAAGUCCUAGUGUAGCGGUGAAAUGCGGAGAUAUUAGGAGGAACACCAGUGGCGAAGGCGGCUUACUGGACUGUAACUGACGUUGAGGCCCGAAAGCGUGGGGAGCAAACAGGAUUAGAUACCCCAGUAGUC
rnacentral:rRNA from 1 species